rnacentral:lncRNA from 10 species
CUGGAGUGCAGCGGCAUAAUCAUGGCUCAUUGCAGCUCGACCUGCCAGGCUCAGGUUAUCCACCUGCCUCGGUCUCCCAAGUGCCAACUGUGGGGGGAAUAAAGUUGCUUAGCAACGUGGAAAUGGGAGAAGCUAUAAGGCUUCCCAGUGUUCACGCAAUCGUCCCUAUUUCUGUGCCUCUUCUACCUUUCAUCCCAGAGGUUAACUGGUGCUGUGAAUUCUGAAAUGUGUCAGACCCACACUGCAGUCUGAAGGCUCUCUCGACCUACGCUUGCUCCAUCUCCCGUUUAUCCUCCAUUUAUGUUUCCUCUAAUAAAUUCUUGCACAUCUAAC